UGGGGAAUAUUGCACAAUGGGCGAAAGCCUGAUGCAGCAACGCCGCGUGAGUGAUGAAGGUCUUCGGAUUGUAAAGCUCUGUCUUUUGGGACGAUAAUGACGGUACCAAAGGAGGAAGCCACGGCUAACUACGUGCCAGCAGCCGCGGUAAUACGUAGGUGGCGAGCGUUGUCCGGAUUUACUGGGCGUAAAGGGUGCGUAGGCGGAUGUUUAAGUGAGAUGUGAAAUACCCGGGCUUAACUUGGGUGCUGCAUUUCAAACUGGAUAUCUAGAGUGCAGGAGAGGAGAAUGGAAUUCCUAGUGUAGCGGUGAAAUGCGCAGAGAUUAGGAAGAACACCAGUGGCGAAGGCGAUUCUCUGGACUGUAACUGACGCUGAGGCACGAAAGCGUGGGUAGCAAACAGGAUUAGAUACCCUGGUAGUCCACGCCGUAAACGAUGAGUACUAGGUGUAGGAGGUAUCGACCCCUUCUGUGCCGCAGUAAACACAUUAGGUACUCCGCCUGGGAAGUACGAUCGCAAGAUUAAAACUCUAAAGUGAAUUGACGGGGUC
rnacentral:rRNA from 1 species